AGUGAGACUGACUGCGUCGGGGUUGAGACUGGGUGGAUGAGGCUCACCCCGGCGGGGAGAAGGGACGAGGAGGGGCGGACAGCGGAAGGUCCGGGAGUGUCCGCCAUAAAGUCGUUUGAGUUUUAACUUCUAGUCAUGGCGAAUGAUCGCAGGAGAGCACAGACUGGACCCUGCUACGAUCUCUCUUGGAGUGGAUCAGACUGAUGAUCACCAACAACCAACUCAUUCCCGGAUAAGGAAGAAGAGAGUGUCACCUACUUCAGUGUGGUUUCAACCCUACUUCUGCAUCUUAAAGACACUUGUACAACGUUGGACACUGUGCAGGAUGAUGCCACUUCAUCUUGGAUGCUAAUCUGCCAUGUUGACUUCUGAUUAACCCCAGGCCCAGGAAUGCCUCAAGAUUUCUACUUUACUUACUGUUGCUUGUGUAAGCCAAGACAACCUUGAUGUUAUCAUAAACAUGUACUUACCUAAGUCCUGUCCUUUGGCAAAUUAUGGGCUAUGAGACACAGCAUUCUUGCCUUUCCCUGAGGGGUCAAUUUCAGCGAUCCUACACAUUCCUUCUGAAGCACUUAUGCUCUUUCUAUAUGGUAUGUAAGCUCUCGGUCUGGGGAGUAACAGUGCAGAGAUCUACCUGUCUUGUUGCCACAUGUUUCUAAACUUUCCAAUAAAUCACCUUCUACUGACA
rnacentral:lncRNA from 10 species